GGCCUCGUAGUUCAACUGGAUAGAAUGUCAGAUUUCGGCUCUGAUGGUUGGGGGUUCGAGUCCCUUCGGGGUCACGA
rnacentral:tRNA from 1 species